UAGCGGCGACCCCAAUACGAGGCUUGAUAUAGCAGCCAAUCGCGGUGUGGAUGAGAUAUUGAAUAUGUGGAAUGCUUCUCAGGACGCCAGCCUCAUUAUCCUCUAUUUGUAUUCCUCUCGACAAUUCUACAAAUUUUGGAAUAAUGACCUCGCCCUUCAGUCUACAAUAUACUCACUUUCUAAAGAUCAUUUUUUCAUGCAUCUUGUUGGGAAAAACUGUCAAAGUUUAUCUGAUGAGAAAAUCCUGACAGUUGCCAAACAAGAGAGAUUGUUAUUUGUUGGUUCAAAGGCAGCACCUGCUUUGGCAUCAGUAGAUGACAUUCGGAACUAUGCGUCAAUGCAGGAUUCUAGCAAUGGGAAGCGGAAAGCAGAUCAGAUAACAA
rnacentral:sRNA from 2 species